rnacentral:rRNA from 1 species
UAACACAUGCAAGUCGAGGGGUAAGGUUCAGCUUGCUGAAUACACGACCGGCGCACGGGUGAGUAACACGUUUGCAACCUUCCUCUAACUGGAGAAUAGCCCGAAGAAAUUCGGAUUAAUACUCCAUAAAGUCAAUUUAAGGCAUCUUUUAUUGAUUAAAGCUCCGGCGGUUAGAGAUGGGCAUGCGUGUCAUUAGCUAGUUGGUGAGGUAACGGCUCACCAAGGCCACGAUGACUAGGGGGUCUGAGAGGAUGAUCCCCCACACUGGUACUGAGACACGGACCAGACUCCUACGGGAGGCAGCAGUGAGGAAUAUUGGGCAAUGGACGCAAGUCUGACCCAGCCAUGCCGCGUGCAGGAUGACUGCCCUAUGGGUUGUAAACUGCUUUUGUUUGGGAAGAAACCCCCGAUCGUGAUCGGGGCUGACGGUACCAUACGAAUAAGCAUCGGCUAACUCCGUGCCAGCAGCCGCGGUAAUACGGAGGAUGCAAGCGUUAUCCGGAUUCAUUGGGUUUAAAGGGUGCGCAGGCGGAAUAUUAAGUCAGUGGUGAAAUCCUGCAGCUUAACUGUAGAACUGCCAUUGAUACUGAUAUUCUUGAAUAUAGUUGAGGUGGGCGGAAUGUGUACUGUAGCGGUGAAAUGCUUAGAUAUUACACAGAACACCAAUUGCGAAGGCAGCUCACUAAACUAAUAUUGACGCUGAGGCACGAAAGCGUGGGUAGCAAACAGGAUUAGAUACCCUGGUAGUCCACGCUGUAAACUAUGAUCACUCGGCUGUUGGCAAUACAUCGUCAGCGGCUGAGCGAAAGCAUUAAGUGAUCCACCUGGGGAGUACGCUCGCAAGAUUGAAACUCAAAGGAAUUGACGGGGGCCCGCACAAGCGGAGGAACAUGUGGUUUAAUUCGAUGAUACGCGAGGAACCUUACCUGGGCUUAAAUGCAGAGCGACGUCCGCCGAAAGGUGGAUUCCUUCGGGCGAUCUGCAAGGUGCUGCAUGGUUGUCGUCAGCUCGUGCCGUGAGGUGUCGGGUUAAGUCCCAUAACGAGCGCAACCCUUAUCGUUAGUUGCCAGCGGGUAAUGCCGGGGACUUUAACGAAACUGCCGGUGUAAACCGUGAGGAAGGUGGGGAU